GAUGAACGCUAGCGGCAGGCUUAAUACAUGCAAGUCGAGGGGCAGCAGGACUGUAGCAAUCCAGUUGCUGGCGACCGGCAAACGGGUGCGGAACACGUACGCAACCUACCCAAAACUGGGGGAUAGCCCGGGGAAACCCGGAUUAAUACCUCGUAACCUUUUUAAGUGGCAUCACUUGAUAAGUAUAGCUCCGGCGGUUUUGGAUGGGCGUGCGCCUGAUUAGGUAGUUGGUGCGGGUAACGGCCCACCAAGCCUGCGAUCAGUAACUGGUGUGAGAGCACGACCAGUCACACGGGCACUGAGACACGGGCCCGACUCGUACGGGAGGCAGCAGUAAGGAAUAUUGGUCAAUGGACGCAAGUCUGAACCAGCUAUGCCGCGUGAAGGAUGAAGGUCAUCUGGAUUGUAAACUUCUUUUAUGGGGGACGAAACCCGGAUAUUCUUAUCCGAUUGACGGUACCUCAGGAAUAAGCACCGGCUAACUCCGUG
rnacentral:rRNA from 1 species